rnacentral:rRNA from 1 species
GAUGAACGCUGGCGGCGUGCCUAAUACAUGCAAGUCGAGCGAAAAGAUGAGGAGCUUGCUCCUCUGACGUGAGCGGCGGACGGGUGAGUAACACGUGGAUAACGUACCUAUAAGACGGGGAAAACUUCGGGAAACCGGAGAUAACACGGGAUAAUAUAUUGAAGCGCAGGGGUCAAUAGUGAAAGACGGCUGUGCGGGCACGUAUAGAUGGAUCUGCGCCGGAUUAGCUGGUUGGGAAGGUAACGGCUUACCAAGGCAACGAUGCGUAGCCGACCUGUGAGACUGAUCGCCCGCCUUGGAGCUGGGACACCGUCCUGACUCCUGCGGGACGCAGCAGUCGGCUAUCUUCCGCAUUAGGCGAAAGCCUGACGGAGCAACGCCGCGUGAGUUAUGCCGAUCUUCGGAUCGUAAAACUCUCUUUUUAGUGAAGAACCGAUUUCUACUUUACUAUGCACUUCUUGACGGUACCUGAUCAGAAAGCCCCGGCUAACUACGUG